UCCGCCUCCACGUCCGCCUUCUCAGCUGUUAGUUCUGCUGCUGCUGCUGCUGCUAAGUCGCUUCAGUCGUGUCCAACUUUGUGCGACCCCAUAGACUGCAGCCCACCAGGCUCCACCAUUCCUGGGAUUCUCCAGGCAAGAACACUGGAGUGGGUUGCCAUUUCCUUCUCCAAUGCAUGAAAGUGAAAAGUGAAAGUGAAGUCGCUCAGUUGUGUCCGACUCUUCGCGACCCCAUGGACUGCAGCCCACCAGGCUCCUCCGUCCAUGGGAUUUUCCAGGCAAGAGUGCUGGAGUGGGGUGCCAUUGCUUUCUCCGGUAGAUAGUUCACUCAGCAUCAAUUCUCAGUAUCUCUCGGCCCCUCUGAGACCUCCUGGAAUGCCAACGAGCGCCUCGUUGCUAAGAUUUCUCGGGCAGCAGGCAGGGGCACCCUUCCACUGUGGGGACUCUUUUCCCAGUGGAGCCCAAAUAAGGCGCAAGUCUGGAGAACUGGAGGCAGGGCACAGAAGCCGGGAGAGCCUGAGGGUCCCUGAAGAGAGUCGGGGACGAGGAGAGAUAGACUGGGUCAGUACCUGCCGCAGACGAAAGGAAAUCUGGAUAAUCGCUUCCUAUCGAGCGCCUGAUCUUAGCUCAGCGCUCUGCCGUGGCCUCUCCACUCAAGUGCUCCUCCUCUCGGCCUCUUCCUUGGAGACUACGAUGCUCACGCACCUCAUCUCCACGCGCUGUGUCUUCCCCUUCUCCAUUGCGCAUUCAGCAAUGGAGGUAGGUGGGCUCACCUCUGCUUACCGCCGCGGUGCGUCCUUGGCCCCUUGGCCACUACUGCCUCGGUGUUGUAAGCAUUCGCCUGUCUUCUCUAUGGAAUUAUAUAAAGAAAAAUGCAACAAAAAGAAAGAAAGAAAGAAUCCACAUUCGUGAUACCUGGACCUAAAGACCACAACUUUGUCACAUUCACUUCCAAUCUUUAAAAAAAAAAAAAAAAAAAAACUUUUGGUUUUCCUUUUAACGAACCAAAAGCAGUAAUUCAUGAUGACCUGUCUGAUUGAUUUAUUAAUGCCGUGAAUGGAAAUCAAGUGCACAAAUAAGCCUAAAUCCUAAGUGAACAAUGGGGGCCCUGCCCAAUGGGCAGAACCAGGCCCGCUGGAGGUCUUGGGUGCCCGCCCGCCAUGGCCUUCGCAGGCAUGACCCAUGGCAGGGGGUGGGGGUCUUGGCAGAGGCAGAGACGUGAUUAAUCCCGCCGCGCCAUCCGGCGGGUGAGGACCCUCAGAAAAGCCCCGAGUGAGUCGCCAGUCCACAUGAGGUCUAGCUUGGAUCAGCUUUGGAAAAUAGAGCCCGGGCCGUAUCACCAGAGGAG
rnacentral:lncRNA from 1 species